rnacentral:rRNA from 1 species
UACGUAGGGUGCGAGCGUUGUCCGGAAUUAUUGGGCGUAAAGAGCUUGUAGGCGGCUCGUUGCGUCGGGAGUGAAAACCUGCGGCUUAACCGCAGGCCUGCUUCCGAUACGGGCGAGCUAGAGUUCGGCAGGGGAGACUGGAAUUCCUGGUGUAGCGGUGGAAUGCGCAGAUAUCAGGAGGAACACCGGUGGCGAAGGCGGAUCUCUGGGCCAUUACUGACGCUGAGGAGCGAAAGCGUGGG